rnacentral:rRNA from 1 species
GACGAACGCUGGCGGCGUGCUUAACACAUGCAAGUCGAACGGAAAGACCCGGCGUUUGUGGGGUGCUCGAUUGGCGAACGGGUGAGUAACACGUGAGUAACCUGCCCUUGACUGUGUGAUAACUUCAGGAAACUGGGGCUAAUAUCGGAUAUGAGCUCCUGCUCCAUGGUGGUGGUUGGAAAGUUUCGGCGGUUGGGGCUGGACUCGCGGGUUAUCAGCUUGUUGGUGGGGUAGUUGCUUACCAAGGCUUUGACGGGUAGCCGGCCUGAGAGGGUGACCGGCCACCAUGGGACUGCGAGACGGACCAGACUGCUACGGGCGGCAGCAGUGGGGAGCAUUGCACAAUGGGCGGAAGCCUGAUGUAGCAACGCCGCGUGCGGAAUGACCGGCUUCGGGUUGUAAACCACUUUCGAAUGUGACGAAGCGUGAUUGACGGUAAUGGGUCAAGAAGCAACGGCUAACUACGUG